ACUACGGGUGGCUGCAGUAGGGAAUAUUGCUCAAUGGGGGAAACCCUGAAGCAGCAACGCCGCGUGGAGGAUGAAGGUUUUAGGAUUGUAAACUCCUUUUGUGCGAGAAGAUAAUGAUGGUAUCUCACGAAUAAGCACCGGCUAACUCCGUGCCAGCAGCCGCGGUAAUACGGAGGGUGCAAGCGUUACUCGGAAUUACUGGGCGUAAAGAGUGCGCAGGCGGGCUGGUAAGUCCGAUGUGAAAUCCUCGAGCUGAAAUACAGAACUGCAUUUGAAACUAUGAGUCUUGAUGGUGGGAGAGGUAGGUGGAAUUCUUGGUGUAGGGGUAAAAUCCGUAGAUAUCAAGAGGAAGACUCAUUGCGAAGGCGACCUACUGGAACAUUACUGACGCUCAUGCACGAAAGCGUGGGGAGCAAACAGGAUUAGAUACCCCAGUAGUC
rnacentral:rRNA from 1 species